rnacentral:rRNA from 1 species
GACGAACGCUGGCGGCAUGCCUAACACAUGCAAGUCGAACGAUACCUUCUGGUCUAGUGUCGCAAGGCUGCGUACCGCGUGUUAACCUGCCCUUAGUUUCGCAUUAACUCCCCGAAAGGGGUGGUAAUAUCGGUUUAUGUCUUCGUACCAAAUAUUUCUCGCUUUUGGUUGGUCCGGCGUUGUUUUUGCUAGUUGGUAGGUUAAACGCCUACCAAUGCGACGAUCCAUAGCUGGUCGGUAAGGAUGAUCAGCAAAACUGGGACUGACACACGGCCAAAAUUCCUAGGGAAGGAAGAAGGGGGGAAUAUGCGACAAUGGGCGAAAGCCGAAUCAAGCAAUGCCGCGUGGGUGUGGAAGGAGUUAGGGUUGUAAAGCUGUUUGACACGGGAUGAUAAUGACGGUACCGGGAGAAUAAGCUCCGGCUAACUCCGUG